UCCACCGAGCCAAAAGUUCCACAGCGUCGGGAAGUAUCGUGUGAUAUCAGGUCUUGCGAUGCAACGAAUUGCUUCACGGCACUGCACACAUACGCCCAUUCAG